rfam:Homo sapiens chromosome 1, GRCh38 reference primary assembly.
GCCAGGCGUGGUGGCGCAUGCCUGUAAUCCCAGCUACUCGGGAGGCUGAGGCAGGAGAAUCGCUUGAACCUGGGAGGCAGAGGUUGCAGUGAGCUGAGGUCGAGCCAUUGCACUCCAGCCUGGGCAACAGAGUGAGACUCUGUCUCAA